rnacentral:snoRNA from 1 species
CAUUAAUGAUGGUUCCAAAUGUCUGACCUGAAAAAUACAUGUAGAAAUCUCUUAACUGAAGAA